rnacentral:sRNA from 1 species
GCUGGACAUGAUAGUGCAUACCUGUAAUCCCAGCAACUUGGGAAGCUGAGGCAGGAGGAUUGCAAGUUUGAAGCCAGCUUCAGGAACUUAGUAAGACCCUGUCUCAA